rnacentral:tRNA from 1 species
AGGAGUUUAGUAUAAUGGUAGUACAGGAGUCUCCAAAACUCUUAGUCAAAGUUCGAUUCUUUGAACUCCUGCCA